UACGAAGGGGGCUAGCGUUGCUCGGAAUCACUGGGCGUAAAGGGUGUGUAGGCGGUUGUUUAAGUUUGGUGUGAAAUCUCCCCGGCUCAACUGGGAGGGUGCGCCGAAUACUGAAUGACUUGGAGUGCGGGAGAGGAAAGUGGAAUUCCUGGUGUAGCGGUGAAAUGCGUAGAUAUCAGGAGGAACACCGGUGGUGUAGACGGCUUCUGGACCGUAACUGACGCUGAGACACGAAAGCGUGGGUAGCAAACAGG
rnacentral:rRNA from 1 species